UGGGGAAUAUUGCGCAAUGGGGGAAACCCUGACGCAGCGACGCCGCGUGCGGGAUGAAGGCCUUCGGGUUGUAAACCGCUUUUGUUUGGGAGCAAGCUUUCGGGUGAGUGUACCUUUCGAAUAAGCGCCGGCUAACUACGUGCCAGCAGCCGCGGUAAUACGUAGGGCGCAAGCGUUAUCCGGAAUUAUUGGGCGUAAAGGGUACGUAGGCGGGUAAGCAAGUUAGAAGUGAAAUCCUGUAGCUCAACUACAGUAAGCUUUUAAAACUGCUCAUCUUGAGAUAUGGAAGGGAAAGUGGAAUUCCUAGUGUAGCGGUGAAAUGCGCAGAUAUUAGGAGGAAUACCGGUGGCGAAGGCGACUUUCUGGCCAUAAUCUGACGCUGAGGUACGAAAGCGUGGGUAGCAAACAGG
rnacentral:rRNA from 1 species